UACAGAGGUCCCAAGCGUUGUUCGGAUUCACUGGGCGUAAAGGGUGCGUAGGCGGUGAGGUAAGUCGGAUGUGAAAUCUCCGAGCUCAACUCGGAAAUGGCAUUGGAAACUACCUCGCUAGAGAGUUGGGAGGGGGGACUGGAAUACUUGGUGUAGCAGUGAAAUGCGUAGAUAUCAAAGUGGAACACCAGUGGCGAAGGCGGCCAUCUGGACCAGCACUGACGCUGAGGCACGAAAAGCGUGGGGGAGCAAAACAGG
rnacentral:rRNA from 1 species